rnacentral:rRNA from 1 species
GCAAGGGGAGCGGCAGACGGGAGAGUAACACGUGGGAACGUACCCUUUGGUUCGGAACAACCCAGGGAAACUUGGGCUAAUACCGGAUAAGCCCUUACGGGGAAAGAUUUAUCGCCGAAGGAUCGGCCCGCGUCUGAUUAGCUAGUUGGUGGGGUAAUGGCCCACCAAGGCUACGAUCAGUAGCUGGUCUGAGAGGAUGAUCAGCCUCACUGGGACUGAGACACGGCCCAGACUCCUACGGGAGGCAGCAGUGGGGAAUAUUGGACAAUGGGCGCAAGCCUGAUCCAGCCAUGCCGCGUGGGUGAUGAAGGCCCUAGAG